GCCGACGUGGCGGAAUUGGCAGACGCGCACGGUUCAGGUCCGUGUUCCGCAAGGAUAGUGGGUUCAACUCCCACCGUCGGUACCA
rnacentral:tRNA from 1 species